AAAGGGAUGUAACAUAUUGGGAUUUGUGAGGUCAGGGGAACUCACUCUUCUUGUAUUAGUUAUAUUUAUAAUGUUGUUAUUGAGUGAUGUCCCUUGUAUUUAUCUAUUAUUGUUCCUCUUCCGUUUACCAAAUAAAGAUGGCUACAUGCUGAUGGCUUCUGUCUCCGUUGUGUAUUCCUAAUCUAUUAUACUUACGAUUUUCUUAACCGUGGCCUAUUUAUAGGCAAUUCAGAUGCAACCCGACAUGAACGCAAUGUGGCCUGAUGUUAUGCUGUCAUGUGCCUCUCCUUUCCUGUCGACGAGAAGCUGUCCAGUACCUGUCGACGAGAAGCUGUCCAGUACCUGUCGUCGUGAUGUCAACCUGUCCUGUGAGAUGCUGUACCGUCGCUGUCUUGAGGGUGGAGAAGCUGUUCCCUAACUGUCGGAGAGAUAUUGCCACUGUAACAGUCGACUAGACGCUGUCCAGUACUGUGAUGUCAACCUGAGGCUGUCAUCCAGAAGCUGUCCUGUUGCCAGUCCCUGUCAUGUUGCUGUAUGUCUGGCUGGGUAGUUUGUGGGUACCGGUACUGGGUAGUUUGUGGGUACCGGUACUGAAAGUAUGUAGAGUGAUGAUAGUAAAUUGUUAUACGUUCUGAUAUUGUAACCCUGUAAACUAUUGUAUUGUCUGGUAUAAGUAAAUAAAUGUAUUGAACUGUG